rnacentral:lncRNA from 1 species
GAGCAGGACCUCCUUAGAGCUCUUUUGUCUUUCUGUCUUAUCAUGCAGUUAUUUCCUUUUUGUCGUUUUGUCCUUCUUUCCUUGGCCGUCCUGGCCUUGUAGUGUGUAUAUAUCAAAAAUGAAAUGAAAAGAGCAUUUUACGUUACCUCGUCCGCACGCUACGCUAAUAUUAUUGUCUGCAGAACCUUUCUUGACGUUUGACUUGUCUGAUGUAGACGUCAUCAGAGGGGGGGGCUU